GGAGCUUGCUCCUCUGGAUCAGUGGCGAACGGGUGAGUAACACGUGAGAAAUCUGCCCUGGACUCUGGGAUAAGCGUUGGAAACGACGUCUAAUACCGGAUACGAGACGCGAAGGCAUCUUCAGCGUCUGGAAAGAACUUCGGUCCAGGAUGAUCUCGCGGCCUAUCAGCUAGUUGGUGAGGUAACGGCUCACCAAGGCGACGACGGGUAGCCGGCCUGAGAGGGUGACCGGCCACACUGGGACUGAGACACGGCCCAGACUCCUACGGGAGGCAGCAGUGGGGAAUAUUGCACAAUGGGCGCAAGCCUGAUGCAGCAACGCCGCGUGAGGGACGACGGCCUUCGGGUUGUAAACCUCUUUUAGUUGGGAAGAAGCGAAAGUGACGGUACCUGCAGAAAAAGCACCGGCUAACUACGUGCCAGCAGCCGCGGUAAUACGUAGGGUGCAAGCGUUAUCCGGAAUUAUUGGGCGUAAAGAGCUCGUAGGCGGUUUGUCGCGUCUGCUGUGAAAACCGGAGGCCCAACCUCCGGCCUGCAGUGGGUACGGGCAAACUAGAGUGCGGUAGGGGAGAUUGGAAUUCCUGGUGUAGCGGUGGAAUGCGCAGAUAUCAGGAGGAACACCGAUGGCGA
rnacentral:rRNA from 1 species